UCUCCUGUAGCUCAGCGGUAGAGCGUCCGACCAGUGUGCGGAAGGUCAUAUGUUCGACUCCUGUUGGUGGAA
rnacentral:tRNA from 1 species